CGCUAUCUCAGGUCAAGCGGGUUACCUGCUGAAUUUAA
rnacentral:rRNA from 1 species